rnacentral:rRNA from 1 species
UACGUAGGGUGCGAGCGUUGUCCGGAAUUACUGGGCGUAAAGAGUUCGUAGGCGGUUUGUCGCGUCGUUCGUGAAAACUUGGGGCUUAACUCCAAGCGUGCGGGCGAUACGGGCAGACUUGAGUACUACAGGGGGAGACUGGAAUUCCUGGUGUAGCGGUGAAAUGCGCAGAUAUCAGGAGGAACACCGGUGGCGAAGGCGGGUCUCUGGGCCGAUACUGACGCUGAGGAGCGAAAGCAUGGGUAGCGAACAGG